AGUAACGAUAAAGGGGGCGGGAAACCCCCUCGCCGAAAGACUAAGGUUUCCUGAUCAACGCUAAUCGGAUCAGGGUAAGUCGGGACCUAAGGCUCAGCCGAACGGCGAGGCCGAUGGCAGAAACGGUCAAGAUUCCGUUACUACCUUACAGGGUGACGUGGAGACGCAGAAGUGGCACUGCCGCGGGCUGACGGAAUAGCCCGUUGAAGAGUGUAGGCGCAGAUCCCCGCAGGCAAAUCCGUGGGGAGAGCCGACCUUGAGAGUACACCAAUUCCUCCGGGAUGCGGUGACAGCGCAGGUAAGCAGACUGCCGAGAAAAUCCGCUAAACAUAACCUGUAAGGUACCCGUACCGCAAACGGACACACGUAGUCGGGUUGAAUAUACUAAGGCGCUUGAGUGUAUCACGGUUAAGGAACUAGGCAAACUGACCCUGUAACUUCGGGACAAAGGGUCCCUCCUCGCAAGAGAGGGCGCAGAGAAUAGGUCCAGGCAACUGUUUAACAAAAACACAGGGCUGUGCGAAUAUGAAAGUAGAAGUAUACAGCCUGACACCUGCCCGGUGCUGGAAGGUUAAGAGGAGACGUCAUCGCAAGAGAAGCGUUGAAUUGAAGCCCCAGUAAACGGCGGCCGUAACAAUAACGGUCCUAAGGUAGCGAAAUUCCUUGUCGGGUAAGUUCUGACCUGCACGAAUGGUGUAAUGAUCCGGACGCUGUCUCAACCGUGAGCUCAGUGAAAUUGUAGUAUCGGUGAGGAUGCCGAUUACCCGCGAUGGGACGAAAAGACCCCGUGAACCUUUACUAUAGCUUAGCAUUGGAUUUGGGCACGCGAUGUGUAGGAUAGGUCGGAGGCUUUGAGACGGGCACGCCAGUGUCCGUGGAGCCGCUGUUGAAAUACGACCCUUCGUUUGUUUGAGUUCUAACUCCCGGGUGGAGGACAUUGCUUGGUGGGUAGUUUGACUGGGGUGGUCGCCUCCAAAAGCGUAACGGAGGCUUCUAAAGGUGCCCUCAGGACGAUCGGUAACCGUCCGCAGAGUGUAAUGGCAUAAGGGCGCUUGACUGGGAGACAGACAGGUCGAGCAGGUAGGAAACUAGAGCAUAGUGAUCCGGUGUUUCCGUAUGGAAGGGACAUCGCUCAAAGGAUAAAAGGUACUCCGGGGAUAACAGGCUGAUCCCUCCCAAGAGCUCAUAUCGACGGAGUGGUUUGGCACCUCGAUGUCGGCUCGUCACAUCCUGGGGCUGGAGAAGGUCCCAAGGGUUGGGCUGUUCGCCCAUUAAAGUGGCACGCGAGCUGGGUUCAGAACGUCGUGAGACAGUUCGGUCUCUAUCUAUCGUGGGCGUAUGAAAUUUGCGUGGCUCUGACACUAGUACGAGAGGACCGUGUUGGACCGACCUCUGGUUUACCGGUUGUGCCGCCAGGUGCAUCGCCGGGUAUCCAAGUCGGGAUCGGAUAAGCGCUGAAAGCAUCUAAGUGCGAAGCCGGCCACAAGAUUAGAUUUCUCAGGGUCGUCAAAGACGAUGACGUCGAUAGGAUGCAGGUGUAAAGGUGGAGACACCAAAGCCGAGCAUUACUAAUUGCCC
rnacentral:rRNA from 1 species